CCGCGGCUAGACGGAAAGACCCCGUGAACCUUUACUAUAGCUUUGCACUGGACUUUGAAUUUGCUUGUGUAGGAUAGGUGGGAGGCUUUGAAGCGGACACGCCAGUGUUCGUGGAGCCAUCCUUGAAAUACCACCCUUAUCGUCAUGGAUGUCUAACCGCGGUCCGUUAUCCGGAUCCGGGACAGUGUAUGGUGGGUAGUUUGACUGGGGCGGUCUCCUCCCAAAGAGUAACGGAGGAGCACGAAGGUGUGCUAAUCAUGGUC
rnacentral:rRNA from 13 species